rnacentral:pre_miRNA from 1 species
UUGAUUUAAAUCAUUGUAAAUCUACAUUUUGUAAAUUGAGUUCACACAAAGUGAUGGACAUACAUUGAUUUUAUGCAA